UACGGAGGGUGCAAGCGUUAUCCGGAUUCACUGGGCUUAAAGGGUGCGUAGGUGGGCUGGUAAGUCAGUGGUGAAAUCUCCAGGCUUAACUUGGAAACUGCCAUUGAUACUAUCAGUCUUGAAUACCGUGGAGGUCAGCGGAAUAUGUCAUGUAGCGGUGAAAUGCUUAGAUAUGACGCAGAACACCAAUUGCGAAGGCAGCUUGCUACACUGUUAUUGACACUGAGGCACGAAAGCGUGGGGAGCAAACAGG
rnacentral:rRNA from 1 species